CGAGUUGGCUGUACGGCAGCGGUGUGCAUCAGCACACUGAGGAAAGUCCGAGCAUCGCAGAGCAGGGUAGUUGAUAACGUCAACCGAGGGCGACCUCCGAGCCAGUGCAACAGAAAUAUACCGCCUUCUGUAUAGAAGGUAAGGGUGGAAAGGCGAGGUAAGAGCUCACCGGAGCGUCAGUGAUGACGCUGCCAUGUAAACCUUACCCGAUGCAACGCCAAUGGCAGUGGUAUGUUCAAUGGCUGCUCGUCAGAGCAUACGCUGUAGGCGGCUGGAGCUGUGCGGCAACGUACAGCCAAGAUAGAUUGCCGUACUCGACAAAACUCGGCUUACAGGUCGGCUCGCUUA
rnacentral:RNase_P_RNA from 3 species